rnacentral:rRNA from 1 species
UACGAGAGGCCCAAACGUUAUUCGGAUUUACUGGGCUUAAAGAGUUCGUAGGCGGUGCAGAAAGUGGGGUGUGAAAGCCCUCGGCUCAACCGAGGAAUUGCGCUCCAAACUACUGUACUCGAGGAAGCUAGAGGUGAGCAGAACAGAUGGUGGAGCGGUGAAAUGCGUAGAUAUCUGGAGGAACACCGGUGGCGAAGGCGGCAUCCUGGACCAAUAUUGACGCUGAGGAGCGAAAGCUAGGGGAGCAAACGGG